UGGCUCAGUGGUAGAGUGCUUGCUUUGCAAGCAUGAGGCCCUGAGUUCAAUUACUCAG
rnacentral:tRNA from 1 species